UACAGAGGUCUCAAGCGUUGUUCGGAUUCAUUGGGCGUAAAGGGUGCGUAGGUGGCGCGCUAAGUCGGGUGUGAAAUCUCGGAGCUUAACUCCGAAAUUGCAUUCGAUACUGGCGUGCUUGAGGACUGGAGAGGAGACUGGAAUUCAUGGUGUAGCAGUGAAAUGCGUAGAGAUCAUGAGGAAGACCAGUGGCGAAGGCGGGUCUCUGGACAGUGCCUGACACUGAGGCACGAAGGCCAGGGGAGCAAACGGG
rnacentral:rRNA from 1 species